rnacentral:rRNA from 1 species
UAUACCGUGAAACUGCGAAUGGCUCAUUAAAUCAGUUAUCGUUUAUUUGAUAGUACCUUACUACUUGGAUAACCGUGGUAAUUCUAGAGCUAAUACAUGCUAAAAACCCCAACUUCGGGAGGGGUGUAUUUAUUAGAUAAAAAACCAAUGCCCUUCGGGGCUCCUUGGUGAUUCAUGAUAACUUCUCAGAUCGCAUAGCCUUGUGCUGGCGACGGUUCAUUCAAAUUUCUGCCCUAUCAACUUUCGAUGGUAAGGUAGUGGCUUACCAUGGUUUCAACGGGUAACGGGGAAUUAGGGUUCGAUUCCGGAGAGGGAGCCUGAGAAACGGCUACCACAUCCAAGGAAGGCAGCAGGCGCGCAAAUUACCCAAUUCCGAUGCGGAGAGGUAGUGACAAUAAAUACUGAUACAGGGCUCUUUUGGGUCUUGUAAUUGGAAUGAGUACAAUUUAAACCUCUUAACGAGGAACAAUUGGAGGGCAAGUCUGGUGCCAGCAGCCGCGGUAAUUCCAGCUCCAAUAGCGUAUAUUAAAGUUGUUGCAGUUAAAAAGCUCGUAGUUGAACCUUUGGCCUGGCUGGCAGGUCCGCCUCACCGCGUGCACUUGUCCGGCCGGGCCUUUUCUUCUGGAGAACCGCAUGCCCUUCACUGGGUGUGUUGGGGACCAGGACUUUUACUUUGAAAAAAUUAGAGUGUUCAAAGCAGGCCUUUGCUCGAAUACGUUAGCAUGGAAUAAUAGAAUAGGACGUGCGGUCCUAUUUUGUUGGUUUCUAGGACCGCCGUAAUGAUUAAUAGGGACAGUCGGGGGCAUCAGUAUUCAAUUGUCAGAGGUGAAAUUCUUGGAUUUAUUGAAGACUAACUACUGCGAAAGCAUUUGCCAAGGAUGUUUUCAUUAAUCAGUGAACGAAAGUUAGGGGAUCGAAGACGAUCAGAUACCGUCGUAGUCUUAACCAUAAACUAUGCCGACUAGGGAUCGGGCGGUGUUUCUAUUGUGACCCGCUCGGCACCUUACGAGAAAUCAAAGUG